CACGUUCCCUGGGGGAGCUCCUGCUAAGCGGGGCUGAGAGGAGAGCGCAAGCUCUCGACCCCUUGAACCUGAUCCGGGUAAUACCGGCGGAGGGAAACGGGAAGUCAACCUGU
rnacentral:ncRNA from 1 species